GUGUCAGCAGCCGCGGUAAUACGUAGGGAGCAAGCGUUGUUCGGAAUUAUUGGGCGUAAAGAGCGCGUAGGCGGUUUGGUAAGUCUGGUGUGAAAUCCCGGAGCUUAACUCCGGAACUGCAUUGGAUACUGCCAGGCUUGAGUGUGGGAGAGGAGAGUGGAAUUCCCAGUGUAGAGGUGAAAUUCGUAGAUAUUGGGAGGAACACCCGUGGCGAAGGCGGCUCUCUGGACCACAACUGACGCUGAGGCGCGAAAGCUAGGGGAGCAAACGGGAUUAGAUACCCCGGUAGUCCUAGCCGUAAACGAUGGGCACUAGGUGUUGGAGGUAUCGACCCCUCCAGUGCCGCAGCUAACGCAUUAAGUGCCCCGCCUGGGGAGUACGGUCGCAAGACUAAA
rnacentral:rRNA from 1 species